rnacentral:rRNA from 1 species
GAUGAACGCUGGCGGCGUGCCUAAUACAUGCAAGUCGAGCGAACGGACGAGAAGCUUGCUUUUCUGAUGUUAGCGGCGGACGGGUGAGUAACACGUGGAUAACCUACCUAUAAGACUGGGAUAACUUCGGGAAACCGGAGCUAAUACCGGAUAAUAUUUUGAACCGCAUGGUUCAAAAGUGAAAGACGGUCUUGCUGUCACUUAUAGAUGGAUCCGCGCUGCAUUAGCUAGUUGGUAAGGUAACGGCUUACCAAGGCAACGAUGCAUAGCCGUCCUGAGAGGGUGAUCGGCCACACUGGAACUGAGACACGGUCCAGACUCCUACGGGAGGCAGCAGUAGGGAAUCUUCCGCAAUGGGCGAAAGCCUGACGGAGCAACGCCGCGUGAGUGAUGAAGGUCUUCGGAUCGUAAAACUCUGUUAUUAGGGAAGAACAUAUGUGUAAGUAACUGUGCACAUCUUGACGGUACCUAAUCAGAAAGCCACGGCUAACUACGUG